rnacentral:rRNA from 1 species
UACGUAGGGUGCAAGCGUUGUCCGGAAUUAUUGGGCGUAAAGAGCUCGUAGGCGGUUUGUCGCGUCUGCUGUGAAAACUCGGGGCUCAACCCCGGGCUUGCAGCGGGUACGGGCAGACUAGAGUGCGGUAGGGGAGACUGGAAUUCCUGGUGUAGCGGUGGAAUGCGCAGAUAUCAGGAGGAACACCGGUGGCGAAGGCGGGUCUCUGGGCCGUAACUGACGCUGAGGAGCGAAAGCUAGGGGAGCAAACGGG